UUUGGAUCCAGAAUGCAGCAGGGAUGAGGGCUGGCCAGCUCAAGAGCCAUUUUACCAGCUUAACAUCCUCAGUGGAAAAAGUAAACUUACCCUCUCCUUAGUGGCCCGGGCCGAAAAUCCUGGUAACCACACCUGUGGAAAGCCCAUCUGUUCAGACUAAGAAUUCAUGUUAGUAUGUCAGGCAGCAGGUGGGCUCUUACCCGGGAGGAAAUAAAUAGCCCGACACGGGAUUCUGAUGAUCAUAGAGGAAGGAAGUUUUCCUAAGGAAAUUGCUAGCUGAUGCAGAGGAAGACCAACCAGCAACUAUCCAUGCAUAAGUCACCACUGUGAACAUCCCAGAACCUGAGGGUGAGGUGGAAGCACCUCCCUUGACCAUAAAGACUGAGAAGGACCACAUUAGAAGGGCAGACAGCUAGACGACACGUCUCAGUUUCCUUUGCAGUCUGUGUGGUCACGUGACUGAAUUCUCAGCAAUGGAAUGUUUGCAUAUGAAGAAGGAAUCUGCAUUUGUAAGCACCUGGGAGAUAUGAGCAGGAUAUAGAGAGAACAGACAUUAAGAAAUAUUGGUCCAACGAUACAUUACAUUAAGAAAUGUACCAUCUGAGAACUCUUCUUCUUCCUUCAAGACACAGUUCAAAUAUCUUCACUGAAGAUUUCUUUGAUGCCCUGAAAACAACUUGAUCGUUUUUCCCCCAUGUUACACCUUGUAUAUGCUUCUG
rnacentral:lncRNA from 1 species